rnacentral:ribozyme from 13 species
AAAAAGAAGAGAAAAAAGAUAAGAAAAGAAGGGGGAAAGAAGGGCGUUUGAAAGUUACAUUUUAUCAUUUUGAUAGUGGUUCCAAGUCUGAUUUUCCCUUUGUUCUUCUUCCUU